rnacentral:tRNA from 1 species
GAGGGUAUGGCUCAGUGGUAGAGUGUGUGCUUAGCAUGCACAAGGUCAUGAGUUCAAUCCCCAGGACAUCCA